ACCAGGAUGGCUGAGUGGUUAAGGCAUUGGACUUAAGAUCCAAUGGGCAAUUGCCCUCGUGGGUUCAAACCCCACUCCUGGUA
rnacentral:tRNA from 1 species